AUGUAUUUAAGAAACAGUUAUGCGUGGGAGUAGAUAAGGCCAUUAGAAGUCGGACAGAGUUAUGAUGUUUGUUAUUGCGACAUAAAUAUAUAUGUAUAUAUAUAUAAAAUAAAUGAAGUAUGAGGACAGUUAAACAUUUGUCGGGAGUUAUUACACGAGGUUAUAAAAGUGUAAAAGUGAAAGCCACUGAAAACUCUGGACGUGACUGAUAAGCAGAGAAUGUCCCCAAGGAAGAUGAUGGAAGAAGCUCCUUCUUCAACAUUCAUUCUUCGCCAAGGAAGUGAGUACCAAUCUUUGUCCCUAGGGCGCCGGCUCAUAAAUCAGGGAUGCGUCUCUCGAGUUCUCUUUCUCGCUUGGUUUGGGUGGGGCUCGACGUUAGCAACCGAAACUUUUGCGUUAACCCGCCUCGAGAAGCAUCAAGAGCCGAAUAAUCGGGUCUACUAGAUAACACCACUCUACAUUUUAUUUAUACAGUCAUAUAUUUAUCUAGAGGGCUAUUUCAACUGGGCCAACUGUACCACCACCGCUCAUGUUCAAAUAUUAUAUCACAAAGCAAAUAAAUUCAUUCUUUAUUAUACUUCACGUCAGAUUGUAAUUCUUCAAAUCGCCGGGUAUUUAAACUUAAUGAUUUAAUUUAUCACUUGAUAUUUCAAAAUCUACAGUGACGGGAAAUUUAUUUUCCUGUUAUAAUUUAAAAUAAUAUUGCAGUUUUAAAUAUUGCGAGGUGCAUUAAUUAGUAACAACAUAAGCAGCGGGCAAUUGUAGCAACACGAUCGGGGUCGAUUGAAACAGUGGGAUCGCAUGCGGCGGAACUAAAUGCGCACGCACCCUAAUCCUUUACAGAUGUUAUCCCUCGAUUUACAGUCUUGCAAUAAAAACCCAAUUGUUUAUUUAAAACUACUCCUUU